UAAUAGUUAAUUUGUUUUUAUUAAUAAAAUUACUUUAAAUUUUUUAAGUGAAAUUUUAAAUUUAAUUAAUUUUAUAUAAAAGAGUUGAUGAAGCUAAAAAAUUUUAAUAAUAAACUAGGAUUAGAUACCCUAUUAUUUAAAAAGUAAAGUUAAAUACUUGAGUAGUAAUAGAUAUGAUCUUCAAACUUAAAGAAUUUGGCGGUGUUUUAGUCUAUUUAGAGGAACCUGUCCUGUAAUCGAUAAUCCACGUUGGACCUUACUAAAAUUUGUUGUCAAUUUGUAUAUCGCCGUUAUCAGAAUAUCUUAAAAGAGGAAUAAUUUUCUUAAUUUAUUAUUAUAAUUGAUGUCAGGUCAAGGUGCAGUUUAUAUUUUAGUAGAGAUGGGUUACAAUAAAUUUAUUUAAACGUUAAAUUAUUUGAAAUAAUGAUUUUAAGGUGGAUUUAAAAGUAAAAUAAUGAAUAUAAUUUAUUUGAUUAUAGCUCUAAAACAUGCACACAUCG
rnacentral:rRNA from 1 species